GCGGCGCGGGAAGCGCCGUCCGGGCCGCAGCCGGUGCCGCGGCGGAGGGCGGCCGUGCCUGCGCUGGGUGGCGCCUGCUGGACCCGUCCCGCCCCGCCCUCCUGCUUCUUGGCGCCGCCCGUCCCCACGUCGUUCCUGGGGCUCGAGGUCCCGGCUGCAGUCCGCGAGGACGUGGUGUGGGGGCCGAGGGGACGCCUUGCGCGCGUGUGGAGGCUCUGUGGCCGCGACAGCCACGGCCCGGAGCUGUUCACCGGGGCCGGGUCGUGCACGCACAACGCGCCGUUGGUUAUAGUUUUUGUUCUGACUGGCUUUCGCCCCAAGGGAAGUUUUCGCUAGGUGGUACCCUGAGCAGUGUGGGAAGUAUGUGUAGGAAUACUCGCCUCUGGCUCACAUUUGCAAGUCAGAAUUACAUUGGACAUUUUUAGGCCAUUUUGAUAACGUAAAACUAAAUCACAAGGGCCUCAUUAACUGACCGUAGAUCGGAUUCAGUGGGGUUGCCUCAAAAUAAGGAUUCUACUUACAUUCCUGCCUCAGGGAGUUCAAUGUCAGCCAUCUGUCAGCAGUUUUAGCACUAGCUGCUACUUUCUGAGUACUGUGUGCCAGGUGCUUUUCAAGUAUCAUCUCUAAUUACUGCAACCAGAGAAGGCGAUAAUAUUUUGCACCGCUUUACAGUUAAAAGCCUCGGGUAUGUUAAGUAACGUUUUCAAGGCAAGAGGUAAAGAGUCUGAGAAAGGAUUCAAACUCAGAUCAUUCUAGCUGUCAAGCACAGGCCGUUUGCACUACCCCAUGCUGCUCUGGACAAGACACUGAAGUAUCAAAAAGGGCGUGGGAGGUGCACACACAUGUACAUAAACAUGCAGGGUUUCUGGCUUCUGGGGGGGGGACAGGCAUGUUCCUGAGUGUAAUACACAGGAUGAUGUAUUUAUUGUCAUGAGUGACAGAGCAUUGCAGCAUCUAAUGUUUGUUGAUUUGAGGUUGGAUUUUAUUGUCCAACAGAGUAUGGGCUUAAAAGUUAACCUAGAAGCCAACUUGUAGAAUUGUAUGUGUGUUGGUAGGGGUAGCAUAUAGCCAUUCCUCAGAUCUGAAGGUCUUGGAGACCUGGAGGGGUGUAUUGCAGCUCAGGGUAGGAGGAGCCAAUCAUUCAUGUAACUCUUAUUUUUCAUUUAUUGUGUGCCAGGGUCUAUGCUGUGUCCUGGGGUUACAGCAUUGUAUAAGGCGUGGUCUCUGUGCUCUAAGAUCUUACUGUUUGGUUGAGUCUGAGGGACAACUGUGUCGAUCCAGUGCCUACAACCAAAAGGAACCCUUUUUACAACUUCAGGUGCCAAAUCCAGGGCCCACUCUGCUAGUGGAGUAGAUGGGCUUUUGUGCAGAAAUAUCAUUUCUGUCUGUCACCUGUCACUCCAGAACUACAGCUCAUUCCUUUAGAGUUCGAAUCCUUUUUAAAAAUGCAAGGAGUCCCUUUUGAUGUGAAUGUGACCUUUUAGAGUUAUAUUUCUGUGUUAGUCCAGAGACAAACCACACUAGUUUUUGCACUAAGAUAAUUUGGUAUAAAGAGUUAACUAGGUAAAAAUUGUUAACUAGUUAUCUGAAAAGAUAAAAAGGGAUCUCUGCAAGUAGUAUUGUGGACACGGCAGCUGCGGGAAGCAGUCACUCCCCCUAGGACUGAGGGAGCUAAGGGAAGUGGUCGGAAUUUUAGAGCUUAGAAACUUAGAGGAGGGCCCCUGCCUGGCUGAAACUCAGGGGUCUAAGGAGGAAACUGUGCUGCCCAGCUACGUGUAAGGGCCUGGCAAGUCUGGGAAACAGAGUUCUGAAGGGAAGGCACUGACGCAUGGUGGUGUGUCUGUGGUGGGCAUUCGGUGGUAAAGCUGGGCCUACAGGUGUCGGGAAGACUGCAGACUGAGUUCAGCUGCUGCUGCAGGGCGGUGCUCAAAGGAAUAGGAAGCGCACAGGAAGCCCCAGGCUGCAGGCAGCGGGAGCAAGUCCCCUCUCCCCUGCCGUCCCGCAGUGCUCCUAGGGGUGUGCACCGACUGGCUGAGCAGGUGUCCCAGAGGACCACUGAACAUUCCACACGAGUCUCUCGGGCAGCACCUCACCUGCUAGGGCCUGAAAGGAUUGGUUGACAGUCAGGCCUGAGAGGGGGAAGUGAAGCCUUUGGGGACAGGAAUAGCGGGCAGGAUAACAGGGUGAUGCUGACUGGGAUGGAGGAACUUAAGGUGGCUGGCUUCCAAAUCAGGGAGCUGCCAGGACUUACUGAUGUUAGAACACAGAGACCCCUGAACUUGGUACAUCACAUAAAGACCCCAGGUCAGUUUUAGACCUAGAAUGUGAUCUCUUUGCAGCUUUAUAAGAUGAGCUUCAUGUAAUGUCGGGAAAAUUAUGAAAAUUUGGUUUUAUUUAAUCCUUCAUGGAAAAGCAGUGUGGUGUGCUGCUUUUUACACCAUAUAGGGAGUCAGAGUUAUGGUUUUUGCUUCUCUUUUAACUCAUUAUGCUUGAUUUUCUGUUUUCCCACUCCUCAUUAAAAAAUGCUUAUUUUGAUAACUUUGGGAUAGCAAAAGAAUGCUGAAAGGAAUAAGGCACUAUCCAUAAAAUAUACUGAGCUUCUGUAAAUUCUUAAAUACUAUGAUUAAUAAAGUAAUUAAAAAUCUUUAAGCAUUUACUUGGAAAUAUUUGCAUAAGUAAUCUUUAGUUAACAUUUAAUCACAAUGUUUUAAUCAUAUAGUUCUCAUGACAUUCGGAAAGUGUAUUAACGCAGUAGCUAUACCUGAGUAUAUUCUAUACUCAGAAUAGACAGAAUAGAAUUUUCAUGUGACUUAAAUAUAUACUAAAAUUAAUUUUUACUUCAUGUUAAACAGUGUUUUAUGUUUUAUAUUUCAGAUAUUAAUAGAGGAUCCUAUUACCACGUGUCUUUCUCCUUCAGUGUAUGAUAUGAUUUGUAAACUCGGGUUUGAAGCCAGAGAAAAUUGCGAUAUCAGUAGUAUUGUAACUCAAAAUGGUGAAGUAUGCUGGACGACAAUUACAGACUGUGUGGUUUAUACAGAAUCAGCCCAGGGUCUGGAUUACGGGGGAAGCGUGAGGCUGCUGGGCCCUGUGUGCCAGGCUGUCCACUUACAUCUGUCGUCUCUGACCAAGGGGCAAUUUGAGACGCGAUAUUCAUCGGGGUUCCAGUGGACAGGUGUUCCAGAGUUAUUUCCUGAAAUGUUUGAUGCCUUGGGAAGUCUUCAAUCUCUUGCUAUUUCUCUUAGCUUAAUGAAGCUGACAUCAUGUCUGGAGCGAGCCCUGGGUGACGUGUAUUUACUGAUUAGGAAGGAAUGCCCCUUUCUUUUAAGAGAUCUGAUUGCAUCUGAGGAGCUCUCUCAAGUCUUUGGGCAGUCUGUGAUGGACGUGCUCAAGGUCUUCGUGGGCUCUCCGCGUGGACUCAACCUUCGCAACGUUCUGUGGCAUGGCUUCGCGGCACCACAGGAGAUUCCUCCAAAAUACUGUUCAGUGAUGAUACUGUUGACAGCAGGAUUGGGUCAACUACUAAAGGGUUACCUUCAGCAAACUAAGUUCACAUUGGCACAUCGACCUUUCAUAACUCUUACAAGCUUAGAGGAUUUGAUCGUUUUCCCUGAUGUUACUUAUGAGGUACUUUCAGUAUUAGAAGAAGUGAUGAAGAAAUCCACUUUUAUACUAAAAAUCAUGUUGCCAUAUUGGGAAGUUGCAUUACUCAACUUCAAGUCUCACAGGUUUGCUGACUGUGCCAUAUUGUUAUUGGUGCAACUAGAGACUGGACUUAGGAAAGUUUUUGCCACGGUUAACAAAUGUCCAAAGAGACUUCUGACUGCUGAGUCAACAGCUCUUUAUACUACCUUUGAUGAGAUAUUGGCAAAACACUUGAAUGAUGGUAAAAUCAAUCAACUUCCUCUUUUCCUUGGAGAGCCUGCAAUGGAAUUUCUCUGGGAUUUCCUGAACCAUCAGGAAGGUCCCCGUCUAAGAGAUCGUUUAAGCCACGGGGAAAUCAGUUUACCUGAAUUUCCGAAAGAAGCAGCCAAUCAGUUGCUUGCAUUUUCCUUUGUACUUUUACUCAGAUUUAUUGAUGAAGAUCUAUUAUCAGUGUUUAAGCAGGAAAAAGCAGCAGUGAGAGCAUUGGUGAGCAUUGCAGAAGCCUAUGGCGCUCGCUGCCAUCCAGUUUCUCAGCUUAAAAAGCAGGUGCUGAGCUGUGAGAGGAGCAUCGGAGUCUGGCCUCUGCUGCCUUUGCCUGAAGGAUCCGAAAGGGAGGCUCAGCGAUCAGAAGGUAAUUCUGAAAUAAAUGCCUGCCACUCUUUAAUCACAGAAAUCGUGGCUGAGCUGUGUCACCACGUGCCCGAGACCCACCGCGUUCCUCACGCCUCGGAGCACCUUCCCCCUGAGGAGUGGCCCCAGCUGCUCCGUGAGCUCUGCAGCAUCCCUGUCCGGACCCUGUUCUGCCCCAGAGCCGUCCUGGAGGUGCUGGCCGUGCUCCGGAAGAUCGGCGCCCACUGCCGCCGCGUGUGUGGCCAGGUGGCCGCCUGCGCGGAGCUGAGGCGCCGGCAGUGGGAGGACAGGAGCCUGCGCUCCCGGCAGCGGCGGAACUACCUGCGCCUGGUUCACAGUAUUAAGCUUCUGUCUCCUAUGCUUUAUCUGAUUUUAUUGCUGAUUGCACUGGAAUUGGUCAACAUUCAUGUGGUUCUUGGGAAAAAUACUUCGGAAUAUCAGCAGUAUCUAAGGUUCUUAAAGUCCGUCUUGCAGUACACAGAGAACCUGGCGGCUUACACCAGCCAAGACAAGAACAAAUGGGAUGAAGCUGUCAAUCUCACACAGGUGGCCUUGUUGAAAAUUUGGACUUUUAGUGAGAAGAAACAAAUGUUAAUACAUUUAGCCAAGAAAUCCACGAGUAAAGUAGUCUAAUAAGUCAGGAUGCUUUGGGAUCUAUCAGAAAACCCGAUCUGAGUAGACUUUACAGCAUGUGGUGUCAGUGGAUUUUGCAGAAAUCAAACAACUCGUACUUGGGGCAGCCGGCCGUAGGAAGCUCUCCUUAAGCCUGUGGGCACACGGCGAGGAGGUUUGGGCACGUGAGCCUUUUGUCUCUGACCUGGGCCUUGGAACGUGAGCAGCCUGGUCCUGCGUGGGCGUCUGCGGUUUCAGAAGGAGAUGCUCCAGCAGGCGCCAGCCCGAUGCCGCAAGGGCUCGGACGACACCUCCCACCAUCUCAGUCACAAGGACGCUAGGAGCCUCGGUGGAGUCGGGGUUCUAGCCGGUACACGGUCCGGAGGGCAGCUAGGAGAGUUACUGUCACGGUUGUGUCCCAGAACCCUUGGGUCUGUGCUGUGGGCCUGUUUGUGGCUCAGCCCCAGCACCGCACAGGCCGCGCCCGCACACCAAGAUCCUCUGCGAAGGCUCGACACCCACACCCCAGAUGCCGGUGCUGGCGACUUCAGAGUCACAUUCGGCCGUCACUUCGCAGUCAGCUUUCCGUCCACUCUGCCCCAAGACCAUCUCCUGUCCUGCCCAGGACUCUCGCCGGUCUUGGUCUGGCCUUCGAGGUGGGGGAGGCCGGGCGCAGGCCUGUGUGGGUGCUGCCCCCGUAGUCCGAGGACCCCAGCGUGUGCUCCCAGAGGGAGCGGCGUGCAUUCUUUUGGUGUCGCGCUGCGCUUGCAGGCCCUUCCCGCGGCUCCCUGUGGGCAAACGGCGGCAACGUGGCACCCGUGACAAGCGCUGCCCUUGCUGGGGUGCCGGGUGCUAGGGCGGUGUGGCUGGUGCCUGCCCGCCCUCGGGGAGGCCACGCCGCUCCUGGCCGGUGCUGGGCUGGGCACUGCGCACGGGCUUCCUCCUGUCCGCCCGGUCUGUUUUCUCUGUCCGCCCUGCUCCUGCAGAACCCCUGCCUUGAUCGGAUGCCUCCCUGCGUCCACGUGGGUGGCAGCCGCAGCAGAGGGGGCCGAAGCUCAUUGUUUUCCUCAAACAAUGUCACAUGUCUGCUGCUCUUCGCCGUUGAGCUGAUGGAGAACUUCACUCCGAGGGACAGGCGUCCUGAGGGCUGUGCCACACCAGCUGUCUAGCCAGCGGGAGUCGCCAGGGUAACAGGCGCCGGCGGCUGAGGGUCCACGACCCGAUGGGCACCGGCCGUCACGGCUGAGGAGGCCAAGCAGCUGAGAAGCGGCCAGAGGCGGCUGAAGUUAGCGAGUCCGCCUCAUGCUCCCCCGGACGCUUUUUAUUUUCUCUGCUGGCCGAAUACCUUCAGCAGAUGGAAAUUGCUGGCGAAAAGGAAAGAAGUGAAGAUUAGCUAAAUUUGUUCUCCAUCAAAAGCUCGCCAAGCCUUUCGAGAGCGAGCCCGGGAGGGAGUCAGCUCGUGCCGGCCUCAGGAGCGCGGCCGCAGAGGGCAGAGGCCACAGGCUCGGGCGCUGGACACAGGCUGGACCCCGGCUCCGCCACGUCUAUUCACGGGCUCAGCCCCCCACACCGUUUUCUCGUGGGUGACGUGUGGAGGGUACCGUCCCGCCCCGUUAGGUUGGCGUGACGACCGUGUGCGGGCAGCCCCCAGCCCCGUCCUGACCCGGGCGUCGGUGGCCCUGCCAGGAGGAGGGACUUGGGUGCCUCCGUGUGGCAGCCGAGCUGCGUGCCUGAGCCCGGGGUCCCCUCCCCCCACCGCAGCCUCCGGGUCUCUGCGGGGUUUUCGGUGAAGGAGGGGGCGGGGAGCCGGCCGCUGCCCGCCGUGUGCCCGUCGGCGCUAAGGACAGCUCGGCCUCAGCCCGAGCGGCGCCGCAGGACUGCACCGGAGCCACGGGGGCGCCCCUCAGGUGGGUGUCCGGUGUGCCCAGACGCGCGCACACCUGCAGGAGGGUCGCUGGGUCGCGUCCCUCGGCGCCUCCUGCCUCGCUGUGUUUCAAGGGUUUGGUCGCGAAGCUGCUCUUGCGAGUAAACUCCGGGUUCCUCAGGCGAGGGCCUCUCCGGAGCUCUGUGAGCGCCGUCGCACGGGCUGGGCCCGUGCCUCACGGGGUUGCGCUUCUCUGUCGGGUCGCGGGGCGGCGCUCUUCAGCAAAGCAAGGCCGCGGCGGCCGCGGGAUGCGCUGGAAGCCUCUGAGGGGAGGGGCUGGGGGAUCAUGGAUCCGGGCGGCACCUGCUCCUUCCUUCGGCCUUCCCUGCAGCGGGCAGAGCCCGGGCUGCCCGGGAGGGUGAAGAGCGGCCGCCCGCUUGUCGCAGGGCCCACGGGGCUUUCCCCGGGAACGAGCUUUCACUCCGGCCCGGCGAGGCAGGAGCUCCCGUCCUCAGGGAGGAAAGCCCGGGCGGGAUUGACCGUGUAGCUCAGAGAACGAACCGCAGGGGAGAAGCUCUUUGUUUGAAGACUGAGGUUGAUUUCCUGCGGAGGACGGUGUUCGGCGCGGAGGUGCCGUGGAAGUGGCCCCCUGACGGCUCCCCUUUACCGCGAAUUCCCAGCUGGCGUUGCGGCGUCUGGGGGCGGCUAAGAAGAGCCCGCGGGGACGCAGGCCUCCGCAGGGCGUGGCUGCGGCCGGUCUACAGCCACGCUUCGCAGUGCCAGUAAGACGACGUCGCUCUGUUGGUGCCCGUGCCCCCAAGUCUUCGAGGCAGACAUAACCUGCACCUGGACCCCUCAGGGUCCCCGGGGCCCUGGAUAAUGUGGCACCAGAGUGAAUCGAUUUGGGACCGUUUACAGCCCAUCUAAGAUCAGUUCUUAAGUUUUUCCAAAGAAGACCCUGGAUGAUGCAGGAAGUUCUUUUGACACAUCAUUCAAUUCCUUUAAGACAAGAGUAUUUUAGGGUACAUUCAAAAAAGCCCGUCACGCACUGAGCCCCGCAGCACUGGUUACAGUCGGGGCGGGCGGUGGCACAGCUGCGUCUGUGUAAGUACCGGGUGGGCGCCUUGUUCCCAGAGUACCCCGAGGUCCUUAUUGUUCACGUCCGCCCCCUCUUCACCCGCACCCACCCAGUAGGACAGCUCCUUCAGGAGCGAGGGGGCCUGGGAAGGCAUCUCCUCGGGGGAGGAGGGCGGGGCCGGGGUGGGGCUGGUCCUCUCCCCGAAGGGGGCGUGGCCAGCGUGGCCCGUGCCACCUGGCAUCUCCUCUCCAUCUCAUCACAGCCCCGUUUCUACAAGGCUUUGUAGGUGGGUUCUCCCGAGAGCGAAUCCCCACAGCAGCACUGUGAAGGCGCAAUCCCGCCCGCUUUACAGGGGAGAGAGCAAGGACCCGAGAGAGGGGCUCCCAGCGUCGCGGAGGGGAGGGUCUUGAUGCAGGCCUGCGUUCUGGGCCGGGGACUCACCCAAACGGAGGCAAGGCCUGUUGGGUGGCGGCACCGCCUAAGCGUGUUCUCUGUUCUACUACGAGACCCCUGAGGGUGCUCAGGGGUGUUCCUGGGCCUUCCUGCAGCUCUGCGCGGGAAUUUAACUUGGCAGCUGCAGCCCAUGAGUAACUGUAGUUCACAAAACCUCGCCCCUGAGUUACUGCAACUCUCCCCUCCCACUUGUAAGACGUAACACGGCUUUGAGUGUCAGUGAGGAAAUGUCACGAGCCUGCCCUUCCUGUGAACGUGUGUUAGCGCUGUCAGCGCUCUGGAGGGGCCCAAUUUCUUGCUGGAAUCAGAUUCCUGUAUUUCAGCUCAUUUCUUUCUUUUUCUUCCCUGUAGUAGUUGAUAAUUCCGAUUUCUCUGGCUUGGAUGAAAGUUACAUAAUAAAUAGAGAUAACUAAUCA